rnacentral:lncRNA from 1 species
AAAGCACAAUUCUUUGAAUUAAAUACAAAUAAACUAUUCAAAAUCAUUCAAUUGUAAAUAACUUGUAUCUAUUUUUAAAGGAAAAAGAAAGGCAAGAUUUCAUGUUUAACUUUGGGAUGAUAAAUGACCUACUUAACUCAGUGGUUAGAGUAUUGCUUUCAUACGGCGGGAGGGCUUACUGACCGAAGGGACGGGAAAGCCUCAUUCGAAUCAAAUCCCAUCUCUGUUGUUGAAUAGGGGGAUGGGUAAUUUAAGUUCUAAGGUCACCCUUCUCGGAAAGCGAAUCCUGCUCCCGCACGCAAGCCCUGGUUGAUUGAAACAGCAGCAGAUCAAUCCGAUAGCAUAUCUAUACCUAGGAGCAGCACCUGUAAGCGGAGCCGAGCAGGAACAGAAUUUAUAAACAGGAAGACUUGCAAAACUCAUGUUUAAACAGAAAACUGAAAUUUAGAUUUAUGGGUUUGUGUUAUGUGCAAGAGGAGAAAACUUUCAUCCUGGAAAGUCUUCCCAAGCAGUAUAAGCAAGAAAGCUAAAUGCUUUGCAUCAAAAGUUCAGUUUGUUCUAUCUUCACUUUCUAACAGUUUAUGGUGUGUACACUUUUUAGUUGAGGAAAGAGAAGAAACCCACUAAAAUGCUCUGUAAACACAUUGUAAGGUAACCUGAAAUACCAUUAAUUAAAAAAGGUAAACUUCAAGUGCAUUUUCUUUUACAUUUCUUACAUUUGAUCAUGAGCUAAAAGAAACCAAAACAACCAAAAAAAAGAAAAAAGAAAAAAGAAAAGGGAGAAAUUACCAGAAGCAGAGAUGACCGAGAAACCCUUUUGAAAGAUUUGGUUGCUGUAACUUGCAGGUUUUGACACCUAUUUGAUUUCCCUGUCUCCCACAAGUUAUCUGUUUUAACUUUUAAUCUCUACUUCCCUCUCCGGACCAUCUUUCUUUUGAACAUAAAACUCGUAUCUGUAUAA